UAAUACGGAGGGGGCAAGCGUUGUUCGGAAUUACUGGGCGUAAAGGGCGCGUAGGCGGCUAAGCAAGUUGGGCGUGAAAGGCCUGGGCUCAACCCGGGGACUGCGCUUGAUACUGCUUGGCUUGAGUACGGGAGAGGAUGGCGGAAUUCCCAGUGUAGAGGUGAAAUUCGUAGAUAUUGGGAAGAACACCGGUGGCGAAGGCGGCCAUCUGGACCGUUACUGACGCUGAGGCGCGAAAGCGUGGGGAGCAAACAGGAUUAGAUACCCUGGUAGUCCACGCCGUAAACGAUGCGUGCUAGACGUCGGGGGGUUACCCUUCGGUGUCGCAGCUAACGCUUUAAGCACGCCGCCUGGGGAGUACGGUCGCAAGAUUA
rnacentral:rRNA from 1 species